CCCUACGGGGGGCAGCAGUGAGGAAUAUUGGUCAAUGGUCGGGAGACUGAACCAGCCAAGCCGCGUGAGGGAUGAAGGUACAGAGCAUCGUAAACCUCUUUUGUCAGGGAACAAAGGCGGGGACGUGUCCCCGGAUGAGUGUACCUGAAGAAAAAGCAUCGGCUAACUCCGUGCCAGCAGCCGCGGUAAUACGGAGGAUGCGAGCGUUAUCCGGAUUUAUUGGGUUUAAAGGGUGCGCAGGCGGUCUGUUAAGUCAGCGGUCAAAGCCCGGGGCUCAACCCCGGCCCGCCGUUGAACCUGGCAGU
rnacentral:rRNA from 1 species